rnacentral:rRNA from 1 species
AGGACGAACGCUGGCGGCGUGCUUAACACAUGCAAGUCGAGCGGAAAGGCCCUUCGGGGUACUCGAGCGGCGAACGGGUGAGUAACACGUGAGUAAUCUGCCCCUAGCUCUGGGAUAGCUCCGGGAAACCGGGAUUAAUACCAGAUACGACCACUUUAGACAUCUGCUGUGGUGGAAAGAAUUUCGGCUAGGGAUGAGCUCGCGGCCUAUCAGCUUGUUGGUGAGGUAACGGCUCACCAAGGCGACGACGGGUAGCCGGCCUGAGAGGGCGACCGGCCACACUGGGACUGAGACACGGCCCAGACUCCUACGGGAGGCAGCAGUGGGGAAUAUUGCGCAAUGGGCGAAAGCCUGACGCAGCGACGCCGCGUGGGGGAUGAAGGCCGUUCGGGUUGUAACCCCUUUCAGCAGGGACGAAGCGAAGUGACGGUACCUGCAGAAGAAGCGCCGGCUAACUACGUGCCAGCAGCCGCGGUA